rnacentral:rRNA from 1 species
UACGUAGGGGGCAAGCGUUGUCCGGAAUUACUGGGCGUAAAGCGCACGUAGGCGGCUUUCUAAGUCGGGGGUGAAAUCCUGGAGCUCAACUCCAGAACUGCCUUCGAUACUGGAGAGCUCGAGUCCGGGGAGAGGUGAGUGGAACUGCGAGUGUAGAGGUGAAAUUCGUAGAUAUUCGCAAGAACACCAGUGGCGAAGGCGGCUCACUGGCCCGGUACUGACGCUGAGGUGCGAAAGCGUGGGGAGCAAACAGG